rnacentral:tRNA from 1 species
GCGGGAGAGUGAAAUGGCUCACGCCGGCCCCAUAAGCCGGAAACAUUUAGGUUCGAUUCCUAAUUCCCGCC